UACAGAGGUCUCAAGCGUUGUUCGGAUUCAUUGGGCGUAAAGGGUGCGUAGGUGGCGUGGUAAGUCGGGUGUGAAAUUUCGGAGCUUAACUCCGAAACUGCAUUCGAUACUGCCGUGCUUGAAUGUGGGAGAGGUUAAUAGAAUUCCAGGUGUAGUGGUGAAAUACGUAGAUAUCUGGAGGAAUACCGGAGGCGAAGGCGGUUAACUGGCCCAACAUUGACACUGAGACCCGAAAGCGUGGGGAUCAAACAGG
rnacentral:rRNA from 1 species